rnacentral:rRNA from 1 species
GGCUCAGAACGAACGCUGGCGGCAUGCCUAACACAUGCAAGUCGAACGAAGCCUUCGGGCUUAGUGGCGCACGGGUGCGUAACGCGUGGGAACCUGCCUUUAGGUUCGGAAUAACUCAGAGAAAUUUGAGCUAAUACCGGAUAAUGUCUUCGGACCAAAGAUUUAUCGCCUUUAGAUGGGCCCGCGUUAGAUUAGAUAGUUGGUGGGGUAAUGGCCUACCAAGUCGACGAUCUAUAGCUGGUCUGAGAGGAUGAUCAGCCACACUGGGACUGAGACACGGCCCAGACUCCUACGGGAGGCAGCAGUGGGGAAUAUUGGACAAUGGGCGAAAGCCUGAUCCAGCAAUGCCGCGUGAGUGAUGAAGGCCUUAGGGUUGUAAAGCUCUUUUACCAGGGAUGAUAAUGACAGUACCUGGAGAAUAAGCUCCGGCUAACUCCGUGCCAGCAGCCGCGGUAAUACGGAGGGAGCUAGCGUUGUUCGGAAUUACUGGGCGUAAAGCGCGCGUAGGCGGCUUUUUAAGUCAGGGGUGAAAUCCCGGGGCUCAACCCCGGAACUGCCCUUGAAACUGGAUGGCUAGAAUACUGGAGAGGUGAGUGGAAUUCCGAGUGUAGAGGUGAAAUUCGUAGAUAUUCGGAAGAACACCAGUGGCGAAGGCGACUCACUGGACAGUUAUGACG